AUGUGGGAAACUGUUUUCUGCAGUGUAUCGGAGUUUGAUUUGUCAGAGCUCGAGAGCCUUUUUCCAGCAGCUGUACCAAAAACGGAUAACACCUCCAAAACCGACAGAAGAAAAUCUCUUGGAUCAAAGCCAGAGAAAGUUCAGCUGAUUGAGUUGAGGAGGGCAAACAACACGGAGAUCAUGCUUACAAAAGUGAAGAUGCCGCUGCCAGACUUGGUGAGUGCGGCACUGGCACUUGAUCAGUCUACCUUGGAUGUUGAUCAAGUGGAGAAUCUCAUAAAGUUCUGUCCUACGAAAGAGGAAAUGGAGCUUCUUAAGAACUACACCGGAGACAAGCAACUUCUUGGGAAAUGUGAACUGUUCUUCCUAGAACUGAUGAAAGUCCCACGAAUGGAGUCAAAACUGAGAGUAUUCUCCUUCAAGAUCCAGUUUGGUUCACAAGUCGCAGAUCUUGGGAAAAGUUUGAAAACCAUAGACUCUUCAUGUAAUGAGAUCCGAAGUUCUCUCAAGUUGAAGGAAAUAAUGAAGAAAAUACUGCUCCUUGGAAAUACGUUGAACCAGGGAACUGCUAGAGGUGCUGCAGUUGGCUUCCGGUUGGAUAGUUUGCUAAAACUUACAGAUACCCGGGCAACAAACAAUAAGAUGACAUUAAUGCACUACCUCUGCAAGGUGCUUGCUGCAAAAUCACCACAGCUUUUGAACUUCCAUGUGGAUCUUGUUAGUUUAGAAGCUACAUCAAAGAUACAACUGAAAAUGUUAGCAGAAGAAAUGCAAGCAGUCAGUAAAGGGCUGGAAAAAGUUGAGCACGAGUUUAAAGCUUCAGAAAGUGAUGGUCCAGUGUCAGAAAUUUUCCGUGAGAAACUGAAAGAGUUCACUGACAAUGCUGGAGCAGAUGUGCAGUCAUUGUCUUCAUUGUUCUCUGAAGUGGGAAAAAAGGCUGAUCAAUUGAUCAAAUAUUUUGGUGAGGAUCCUGUCCGUUGCCCAUUUGAGCAAGUUAUGUCUACCCUGUUGACAUUUGUAACAAUGUUCCGGAAAGCACACGAGGAGAAUAUCAAGCAAGCCGAGCUUGAGAAGAAAAAAGCUCAAAAAGAGGCAGAAGCAGAGAAGUCUAAGAAUGCUCAGUUGGCCAGUAAAAAUGACUCGAAAGCAUCGAAUCCAAGCCGACAAGCGAAACAAACGUUAGAGAAAACAAGAUCUACAAGUAGGCGAGGAAAAGAUGGUGGGUGA
rnacentral:rRNA from 1 species